AAGGUCAGUGAUGAAGAUCAAAUCCUUCAUAUACUCAGUGGUUUGGGGCCUGAAUAUGACGUCGUCAUGGUUACCAUUACCUCUAGAGCAGAUGCCUGCAGUCUGCAGGAUAUGAUUGCUUUACUUCUAAGUUUUGAAU